UGGAGCAGCAACUACCUUCACUGCGCAGCAUAAAAGAAGCAGAGAGCUUUCUGAAACAAUUGUGGCAGUGAGUGGUCACUCCAUAUCAUAAUAGGCAGGCAAAGAGGAGUACAGAGAUGACAAGUGAGUGGGUGACCAUUCUCGAAAAGGAAAAACAGGUCCAGGAAACGCAGGACUUCUUGGAGUUGUCAAACAGCAUGACUGAGAAUGACUCCCACCUGGUCCUGGAGUCUUCGAUGAAGGCGACGAUCGUUUCUUGGAGUUUGUUGAUCACGGAGAUCAGGCUCACCUCUGCAAGGAGAACCUCUUCGCUUGUCAUGACAUUGGUCUGACACAGGCCACUGCAGGAGCACACUGGACUUGGGGGAAUCAACUGAAUAAUGAUCUGACUCUGCUGGACACUUCAGAAUAACAAUUCCAAGAAGAAAAUCAUCCUGAAGAUUGUCAUGCUCUAAUCCACCCAAAUAGCAACAGAGGCGUUUCACGUGCAUUUGAUGAUAAGCCAGAAAUACCUAUUUGUGGGGAAAGACCCCUGCACAUGUGUGCAGCAGGCUGUGCAUGUCACAAGGUCAACACGUGAGACAUUGCAUCGGACAACAAGGCACUCUUCCCAAUCUGCUAAGGAGGAUUAAGCAUUGCUACUUCCAAGAGGUUUCAAUCAUAUAGAUCAAAGUUUCAAGGAACCCACUUAUAACUUGAGGAAUAUUGUCUUACACAGCAUCAACACUCUGCAAUCUAUUUUGGUGUGCAUGGCAUCUUGUGGGACACUGCAGUAUAACUCUCAUAAGAGAAGAGAUGUCUCAAACCUGUACCUGAGAGUAAGUUCACAUUCUGCCAUGCAGACUCGGCACUUAAAUGUGUCCUGGUCUACAGAGAAGCAGACUUCUGCCUGCCUUUGGAGAGGCUGGCAGUGAAAACUGGUAUAAUGUUUCUUCUUAUGAAUGGAUGGAUUAUAUUGUGGCCAAAAUGACUGAAUGAAGAGUAGCUCAGUAUUUCUCAAACUAAAUAAAAAUCCCAAAGUAUUCAGAAAAUUCUAAGAUAUAAAGCUGAUUGUCAACAGGUUGUCUUAAUGAUAAAAAUGAUAUCUCAACAUCCACUUACACCACUUGCUGACAGAUGCCACUGUAUUAUGUUCAUGAGCAGGAAUCCCAAUUGAUACUUCUUUACCUUGACCCAGGGCAUUCGUGCAAAUUGAUUAAACCUUAGGACUGUCAUUAGUAAGAUCAGCUAAUUUUUCAGAGGAUCUUGGGCCUCUAAGUAGUCUAUGACUUAUAAAUGCAAAAUGUUAUAUAUUUACAUACUAUAUUGAAGGAAAGUAGUAAAAUUACUAUUUAAGGUAUCAGUCAUGGUUCAACGGGCACCUUUCUUGCCUCUGAUUCAGAAGUUUGGGGGCUGGACCAGCCCAGAGACCUGAGCACAAAAUCAAUGUUGACAUUCUAGUGCAUCACUAAGAGAUAGUGUGAUCAUUCAUGAGACAAUAAAUAAAAAGGCCUGUUUCUCCUUGAAGAACAGAAACAGAGUUUUCCAGUGUUCAGACCAAUAUCUUUCAAACAACGCCACUAAAACAGGUUAUACAGUCAUUACCACAAAGUUGCUUGCAGGAUCUUGUGUACAAAUUCACUGCUAUAUUUUAUCAGUAACUACAUUGAAAUAAGUACUUCAUUGAUUGUAACAUACUUUGAGAUGUCCCAAAGUUAUAAGUAAUGCUAGAUAAGUUUUUUGCUUUUGAACUUUAACUCAAAUAGAGUCUUUAGUAAUAUCCUCCAAGGACAUAUUAAUGAUUAUUUUCUGAAGUCUAUUUUAUUUUCAAGUAAAUGAAAUAGCAUUUAAUAUUUCAGAAGCAUUUCCUACCUUCGCCAUUGUUAUCAAUUUUUUAUACACUGGAGGUUUCAGUUCCAACUCUUUCAAGAGGUUCUGUUUCAUCUGGUGACAAUUGUUCAUUUACCUCUAAAUUCCGUUCUUCAAAAAUAUUGUGGUUAUCACUCUGUAUAGAUGGGAUAUUAUGAACAGAGUAUUGGAUAAUAUCCGUUGAUGUGAUGACAUUGCCAGCCUCCAAAGGCUCUUCUUCCAUUUUUUUGUCUUCUAUUGAUUAGUUAACACCUGCAUCUUCCUCUGUGUAUUCAUCAUCAAAUGAAGGAGUAGGAGAAGUUCUGAAGAUUGAAGAAGGUGAAGAAUACUCAGGUGUAGGUACAGGUGUAGGUGUAGGUGUAUGUUUGACUGAAUCCAAAGGUGUAGAUGGGUGUAUAGAUGUUUCUUGGGCCUCAAGUGCUUUGAGAGAAAUUUUCAAAGUAUUAGCAUCUACCCUUUUCCCUAAGUCUGUGGUUGGGAAUUCUGGUUUGAAUUCAUCCUGCAUGGUCGAAGUGGCACUUGUAUUGGACCCUUUUCUGCCAUUGAAGGAAGCAUCCAACUUUGGAGUUGAAACAGAACCUUCAAUUGCAGCAUCUCUGUCAUUUACAUUAUUUUCUGUAUGUAACAAUGCUUUACCAGUCAAACGUAACAAGGUGUCAUUACUCAUUUUAAUCUUUGCUGAAUCGUUGAUACUGGCAGAUUUCAAUUCUUGAGCCAGGUCCUUGCAGUGUAAGGAUUCUUUCAUACUUCUGUGGUGAGGUGAAAUUGUUUGGGAAGUGAUCAAACACUUUUCUGGGCAAACAGCAGCCUUCAUUCCAUGGGUUUGUCCAGUUACUUUCUUAGUCUGUUGAUUUUUUAUGUGUUGUACAGCAUUCAAAGGUUUGGUUGUCCCAUCAUCUAACAAAAAAUAUAUUUGUUGAUU